rnacentral:rRNA from 1 species
GAAUCCUUGGUAGCGUAGCUAACGCGUGAAGUUGACCGCCUGGGGAGUACGGCCGCAAGGUUAAAACUCAAAGGAAUUGACGGGGACCCGCACAAGCGGUGGAUGAUGUGGAUUAAUUCGAUGCAACGCGAAAAACCUUACCUGCUUUUGACAUGUACGGAACUUGCCAGAGAUGGCUUGGUGCCCGAAAGGGAGCCGUAACACAGGUGCUGCAUGGCUGUCGUCAGCUCGUGUCGUGAGAUGUUGGGUUAAGUCCCGCAACGAGCGCAACCCUUGUCAUUAGUUGCCAUCAU